rnacentral:rRNA from 1 species
UCCGUAGCCUGUUCUGUAGGUCCCCUGUUAAAUCCAACGGCUCAACCGUUGGCCCGCAGGGGAUACCGCAGGACUAGGAGGCGGGAGAGGUGGGCGGUACUCCACGUGUAGGGGUAAAAUCCUUUGAUCCGUGGAAGACCACCAGUGGCGAAGGCGGCCCACCAGAACGCGCUCGACGGUGAGGGAUGAAAGCUGGGGGAGCGAACCGGAUUAGAUACCCGGGUAGUCCCAGCCGUAAACGAUGCAAGCUAGAUGAUCCGGUCGCAAAUCGCGAUCGGAGUGUCGCAGGGAAGCCGUUAAGCUUGCCGCCUGGGGAGUACGGUCGCAAGACUGAAACU